AACGAACGCUGGCGGCAGGCCUAACACAUGCAAGUCGACCGCCCCGCAAGGGGAGUGCCGCCCGGGCGAGGAACGCGUGGGAACCUGCCCUUCGGUUCGGGACAACCCAGGGUAACCAGGGCUAAUACCGGAGGAUCCCCGCGAGGAGGAAAGAUUUCUCGCCGGAGGAGGGGCCCGCGUCGGAUUAGGGAGUUGGUGAGGUAACGGCCUACCAAGCCGACGAUACAUAGCUGGUUUGAGAGGAUGAUCAGCCACACUGGGACUGAGACACGGCCCAGACUCCUACGGGAGGCAGCAGUGGGGAAUCUUGGACAAUGGGGGCAACCCUGAUCCAGCCAUGCCGCGUGAGCGAUGAAGGCCUUCGGGUUGUAAAGCUCUUUCGUGGGGGAAGAUAAUGACUGUACCCCAAGAAGAAGCCCCGGCUAACUCCGUGCCAGCCGCCGCGGUAA
rnacentral:rRNA from 1 species